rnacentral:rRNA from 1 species
UACCAGCACUCCGAGUGGUCGGGACGUUUUAUUGGGCCUAAAGCAUCCGUAGCCGGUUCUACAAGUCUUCCGUUAAAUCCACCUGCUUAACAGAUGGGCUGCGGAAGAUACUAUGGAGCUAGGAGGCGGGAGAGGCAAGCGGUACUCGAUGGGUAGGGGUAAAAUCCGUUGAUCCAUUGAAGACCACCAGUGGCGAAGGCGGCUUGCCAGAACGCGCUCGACGGUGAGGGAUGAAAGCUGGGGGAGCAAACCGG